rnacentral:rRNA from 1 species
UACGGGGGGGGGCAAGCGUUUGUUCGGAAUUACUGGGCGUAAAGGGCGCGUAGGCGGCCUGCUAAGUCGGAUGUGAAAUCCCUCGGCUCAACCGAGGAACUGCAUCCGAUACUGGCGGGCUUGAAUCCGGGAGAGGGAUGUGGAAUUCCAGGUGUAGCGGUGAAAUGCGUAGAUAUCUGGAGGAACACCGGUGGCGAAGGCGGCAUCCUGGACCGGUAUUGACGCUGAGGCGCGAAAGCUAGGGGAGCAAACGGG